GACGAACGCUGGCGGCGUGCUUAACACAUGCAAGUCGAACGGAAAGGCCCUGCUUUUGUGGGGUGCUCGAGUGGCGAACGGGUGAGUAACACGUGAGUAACCUGCCCUUGACUUCGGGAUAACUUCAGGAAACUGGGGCUAAUACCGGAUAGGAGCUCCUGCUGCAUGGUGGGGGUUGGAAAGUUUCGGCGGUUGGGGAUGGACUCGCGGCUUAUCAGCUUGUUGGUGGGGUAGUGGCUUACCAAGGCUUUGACGGGUAGCCGGCCUGAGAGGGUGACCGGCCACAUUGGGACUGAGAUACGGCCCAGACUCCUACGGGAGGCAGCAGUGGGGAAUAUUGCACAGUGGGCGGAAGCCUGAUGCAGCAACGCCGCGUGCGGGAUGACGGCCUUCGGGUUGUAAACCGCUUUCGCCUGUGACGAAGCGUGAGUGACGGUAAUGGGUAAAGAAGCACCGGCUAACUACGUGCCAGCAGCCGCGGUGAUACGUAGGGUGCGAGCGUUGUCCGGAUUUAUUGGGCGUAAAGGGCUCGUAGGUGGUUGAUCGCGUCGGAAGUGUAAUCUUGGGGCUUAACCCUGAGCGUGCUUUCGAUACGGGUUGACUUGAGGAAGGUAGGGGAGAAUGGAAUUCCUGGUGGAGCGGUGGAAUGCGCAGAUAUCAGGAGGAACACCAGUGGCGAAGGCGGUUCUCUGGGCCUUUCCUGACGCUGAGGAGCGAAAGCGUGGGGAGCGAACAGGCUUAGAUACCCUGGUAGUCCACGCUGUAAACGGUGGGUACUAGGUGUGGGGUCCAUUCCACGGGUUCCGUGCCGUAGCUAACGCUUUAAGUACCCCGCCUGGGGAGUACGGCCGCAAGGCUAAAACUCAAAGGAAUUGACGGGGCCCCGCACAAGCGGCGGAGCAUGCGGAUUAAUUCGAUGCAACGCGUAGAACCUUACCUGGGUUUGACAUGGAUCGGGAGUGCUCAGAGAUGGGUGUGCCUCUUUUGGGGUCGGUUCACAGGUGGUGCAUGGCUGUCGUCAGCUCGUGUCGUGAGAUGUUGGGUUAAGUCCCGCAACGAGCGCAACCCUUGUUCACUGUUGCCAGCACGUUAUGGUGGGGACUCAGUGGAGACCGCCGGGGUCAACUCGGAGGAAGGUGGGGAUGACGUCAAGUCAUCAUGCCCCUUAUGUCCAGGGCUUCACGCAUGCUACAAUGGCUGGUACAGAGAGUGGCGAGCCUGUGAGGGUGAGCGAAUCUCGGAAAGCCGGUCUCAGUUCGGAUUGGGGUCUGCAACUCGACCUCAUGAAGUCGGAGUCGCUAGUAAUCGCAGAUCAGCAACGCUGCGGUGAAUACGUUCCCGGG
rnacentral:rRNA from 1 species